UCUCCACAGGAAAAAAAGAGAGCCACAUGAUAUGAUGCUGGAUGUCUCUGACUCUCUUCAAGCAGGAACACACAGAACUGAUUUCUACAGACUCCUCUUAACCUUCUGUAGCCCUUAAAGCAUCCAGGAGUCAGGAAGCACAGCGCUGUCCCAUGUAAUGUCAGCCAGUUAAAGGGGGAAAAUGCCAGUGUAGUGCCUUCUAUGCAGCCUGGGAGUUCACAAGGUUUAUAAUUUGGCCUUAGCCUGCAGUCCCCAACAUGGCUUCUCUUCAGACAUGCAUCUUGGACUUCACAAAUGCUUUCAAUAAGGUGACAAGGGGCCUGCCCAGCUUGGUGCAGGUUUUUGUUGCUGAGUGCCCACCCAGCAGCAGGGCARCUCCAAACACAAGCACUUCAGCCCCUAAAACCCUCAGAGAGUGUCUGUGCAGCAAAGCAGGAUAGGAGGGUGAUGUCCUGCCUUCCUUUCAUCCWGUCUGGGCUUUGCAGGUUAAGGAGAAGCGGUGUCCCUGACUGUCAGUGAGCCAUCUCCUGCCAGYGCUAAUCAGCCCUGGAACAAAGGGAAAUGCACAGUGUGUUAAGACUUGCACAGGUAUCUGAUGCAAUCUGAAAGGGAGACAGACCUGCUGCAAUACCCAACAUGUCCAAAUGCACGUCCCACAACCCAUAUUCUUACUCUGGGGAGCUGCUGAUUGAAGUGGCUGUUCACCUCUACACCUCUACACCUCUACACCUCCAGGUCAUAAUCUAGCAAGUGAAGGACUCUAAUCGGACAUAUUUAAUAUACACACUUCUUACUUAAGGACAUCAAGAACAUUGAGUGGUGUUCCAGCAAAAGGGGACUUGUCCUGAAGUUUAAAGGUUGAACUUCAGCAGUGUGGGAAGAAGCUCUGCACCAUCAGGAUCCUUUGUCUUGCAGAAGUGCUCAUUCAGGCUUUCAGCACAAACAAGAACCAUGUCUUCAUUCUGAGUAUCAGCUGAG